rnacentral:rRNA from 1 species
UACAGAGGGUGCAAGCGUUAAUCGGAAUUACUGGGCGUAAAGCGUGUGUAGGUGGUUUGCUAAGUCUGGUGUGAAAUCCCUGGGCUCAACCUAGGAAUUGCAUUUGAUACUGGCAGACUAGAGUGCGGUAGAGGAUGGUGGAAUUCCCGGUGUAGCGGUGAAAUGCGUAGAUAUCGGGAGGAACAUCAGUGGCGAAGGCGGCCAUCUGGACUGACACUGACACUGAGACACGAAAGCGUGGGGAGCAAACAGG